rnacentral:sRNA from 1 species
ACGGGGAAGGAUGAGAAGCUUCGACUAAGGUUCGACUCGAGCGCCAGCGAGAGAACGUUGCCGCAGGCAACGGCCCGAAGGGCGAGGCGCUUUAGCGCCGAGUAAUCCUUCCCCCACCACCA